AAUGAACGCUGGCGGCGUGCCUAACACAUGCAAGUCGGAUGUGCCCGCAAGGGUGCAUGGCAGACGGGUGAGUAACGCGUGGGGAAUCUACCUUUUAGUGGGGAAUAACGCUCCGAAAGGAGUGGUAAUACCGCAUGUGACCGUCGGCUGGGAUGCCGGCGGUGAAACCCUGGGACCUUCGGGCCAGGGGCUAAAAGAGGAUCCUGCGUCUGAUUAGCUAGUUGGCGGGGUAACGGCCCACCAAGGCGACGAUCAGUAGCCGGCCUGAGAGGGUGAUCGGCCACACUGGAACUGAGACACGGUCCAGACUCCUACGGGAGGCAGCAGUGGGGAAUUUUGCGCAAUGGGGGAAACCCUGACGCAGCAACGCCGCGUGGGUGAUGAAGGUCUUCGGAUUGUAAAACCCUGUCGCCAGGGACGAAGGUGCUUCGGUUAAUAACCGGGGUGCUUGACGGUACCUGGAAAGGAAGCCCCGGCUAACUCUGUGCCAGCAGCCGCGGUAAGGUGCGCGAGU
rnacentral:rRNA from 1 species